rnacentral:rRNA from 1 species
GUGGGGAAUAUUGGACAAUGGGCGAAAGCCUGAUCCAGCCAUGACGCGUGUGUGAAGAAGGUCUUCGGAUUGUAAAGCACUUUAAGUUGGGAGGAAGGGCAGUAAGUUAAUACCUUGCUGUUUUGACGUUACCGACAGAAUAAGCACCGGCUAACUUCGUGCCAGCAGCCGCGGUAAUACGAAGGGUGCAAGCGUUAAUCGGAAUUACUGGGCGUAAAGCGCGCGUAGGUGGUUUUGUAAGUUGGAGGUGAAAUCCCCGGGCUCAACCUGGGAACUGCCUCCAAAACUGCAUGACUAGAGUACGGUAGAGGGUAGUGGAAUUUCCUGUGUAGCGGUGAAAUGCGUAGAUAUAGGAAGGAACACCAGUGGCGAAGGCGACUACCUGGACUGAUACUGACACUGAGGUGCGAAAGCGUGGGGAGCAAACAGGAUUAGAUACCCCUGUAGUCC